rnacentral:rRNA from 1 species
UUGAACUGAAGAGUUUGAUCAUGGCUCAGAUUGAACGCUGGCGGCAGGCCUAACACAUGCAAGUCGAGCGGUAGAGAGG